CAGAUUAUCCGGAAGGAUGGCUCCGUGCGCAGGUCCUGGGGCCGGGGUCCUAGGGCGGUGGUCACAGGGCUGAGACUAAAAACAAACCCUGAGAAGUAGUCGCCCAGGCCCCGAGCCCCAGGAUUUCCGGCCUGCGACGUGAGGCCAUGCUGGAGCACGAAGGAUGGUGGUCAGACAGGACAGACACUGGCUCUGAACAGGACCUCCCUCUUCCCUCCUCCCCCACCUCGGACUCGGGAGUUCCUGCUGUCCCCCUUCCCGAUGACCGGUGACGCACAUCCCCUCCUCUUCCCGAGUCCAUUUAUAAGCCCCCGCCGGCCGGCAGGCGCCCAGAGGGGAGUGGAACAGCCCAGGGCCAGUGUGGCCACUGUGGAGGCGUCGGGGGGUGCGCUGGGGGGGGUGGAGAGAGGAUUCCACAAAUGCUGGAAAAGUCCCUGCUCUGACCUUUAGCGCCAGCCAGCCAAUGAGAAGGGGGAAACGCUUAGUGGGCUGGACCACAGAGGGCUAGGGUAGUUAACUCGUUAACGCGACGAAACAACCUCGACCCAUUCAUCGCAAUUUUCCAACUUCCAAUGGAAGAUCUGUUUGGAUGUUAUUUUAUUUUGUUCCCCAGUCUAACACAGUACCUGACACACAGCUGCAAUGAAGACAAUGUUAUAGUUGGAACCAAUGCCAGGAUGGAAGGAGGAAGAAGUGACCCUCAAAGGGAAGGGCCAUGUCCAGGUAAUUGCAACAAUUUCUAUGUUUUAAUACUAUGUUUCAUCUCCCAGAUUACAGCUCUGGGAGAGCUCAUAAUGAAGUUUCAUUGGUACCUCAGAGAAACCAGGGCUACUGUGGGAGAGCAGAUCAGGCUUGGAGAGGCCAGAGCGGAUCUACAGGGGCCUGCUAAAAAGUUAGUGGCUCCAGGGGCAGCUAGGUGGCAUAGUGGAUAGAACACCAAUCCUGGAGUCAGGAGGAUCUGAGUUCAAAUGUGGCCUCAGACACUUGACCCUAGCAUAAAAAAAAAAAAAAGG
rnacentral:lncRNA from 1 species